UACGUAGGGUGCAAGCGUUAGUCGGAAUUACUGGGCGUAAAGCGUGCGCAGGCGGUUGUUCAAGUCAGAUGUGAAAGCCCCGGGCUUAACCUGGGAACUGCGUUUGAAACUGGACAACUAGAGUUUAGCAGAGGGGGGUGGAAUUCCACGUGUAGCAGUGAAAUGCGUAGAGAUGUGGAGGAACACCGAUGGCGAAGGCAGCCCCCUGGGCUAAAACUGACGCUCAUGCACGAAAGCGUGGGGAGCAAACAGGAUUAGAUACCCUGGUAGUCCACGCCCUAAACGAUGUCAACUAGUUGUCGGGGAAGGUGACUUCUUUGGUAACGUAGCUAACGCGAGAAGUUGACCGCCUGGGGAGUACGGUCGCAAGAUUA
rnacentral:rRNA from 1 species